rnacentral:rRNA from 1 species
CUACGGGACGCUCCAGUGGGGAAUAUUGCACAAUGGGCGCAAGCCUGAUGCAGUCAUGCCGCGUGUAUGAAGAAGGCCUUCGGGUUGUAAAGUACUUUCAGCGGGGAGGAAGGGAGUAAAGUUAAUACCUUUGCUCAUUGACGUUACCCGCAGAAGAAGCACCGGCGAACUCCGUGCCAGCAGCCGCGGUAAUACGGAGGGUGCAAGCGUUAAUCGGAAUUACUGGGCGUAAAGCGCACGCAGGCGGUUUGUUAAGUCAGAUGUGAAAUCCCCGGGCUCAACCUGGGAACUGCAUCUGAUACUGGCAAGCUUGAGUCUCGUAGAGGGGGGUAGAAUUCCAGGUGUAGCGGUGAAAUGCGUAGAGAUCUGGAGGAAUACCGGUGGCGAAGGCGGCCCCCUGGACGAAGACUGACGCUCAGGUGCGAAAGCGUGGGGAGCAAACAGGAUUAGAUACCCUCGUAGUC